CGGAAAAGGCCAGCGGCCGCCCCUUCCGGCAACCAUUUCGCCCUCACCCAUAAUGGCCGCUCUUCAAGCAGUCGCAUGCCCUGCCUCGACAUGGCUGCCGUUGCCGUGGUGCCGGGGAGGCAGUCCAACGGCGGAGUCUGGUGGGUGAUGAAGCCUUCCUGCCCCUAAUUAAAUUUGAACACACUCAUCAAAUUUCAUUGCAACUGGCUGAAGGAGUCUUUCAGGUCUCACAGAAGCUGUUUUAAAGAAAUAAGUGUUUAAGGAUGAAAGUCAAGUGUUCCCUGAAAAGCAGGCAAGUGAGCAAAGUAAGAGCAGAGAAGACUAUACAGAAAGGCUUGUCACAAAAUUAAAAUUACCUAAAUAUUUGUUCUGAGAGAAAAGGCCUUCUGGCCCAUUCCUUUUAAUUUAUUAAACAGCCAAAUUGUUCUGCUGGCUGAAACUCCAUCUGCAAUGUAAUACUGGGU